rnacentral:lncRNA from 1 species
UUGAGGAGACAAAAUUGUCUAGCUUAUUUGGUGUUGUCAGUUGGACCUUUUUGGUCAGGUGGAAAGUGAAGUCUUGGACCUAGGACUAUAGAUUGUCGUAAGUGACUAUCCAUUGAUAGAGGUUUUGGCAGUCUAUGUGGUUACUGGUAGGAGACUGUGGUCUCCAAAGCGAGAGUUUUGACUCAGGUCUUAGAACAACGUUUCGUAUUCGCUCUUGGUGAGCAGGUUGACGUUGUUGGAUAGUCGGAGCUUUUCGUUUCAGUCCACGUAAAUAGACUCUAGAUUAAAAUGGUUGUCUCGUGACUUUUCUACGUGAACUUGCGAC